rnacentral:rRNA from 1 species
GCUCAGGAUGAACGCUGGCGGCGUGCUUAACACAUGCAAGUCGAACGGGAAAUACUUUAUUGAAACUUCGGUGGAUUUAAUUUAUUUCUAGUGGCGGACGGGUGAGUAACGCGUGGGUAACCUGCCUUAUACCGGGGGAUAACAGCCAGAAAUGGCUGCUAAUACCGCAUAAGCGCACAGAACCGCAUGGUUUGGUGUGAAAAACUCCGGUGGUAUAAGAUGGACCCGCGUUGGAUUAGCUAGUUGGCAGGGCAGCGGCCUACCAAGGCGACGAUCCAUAGCCGGCCUGAGAGGGUGAACGGCCACAUUGGGACUGAGACACGGCCCAGACUCCUACGGGAGGCAGCAGUA